AGCGCAUGCGUAGUAUACGAAAGUAAACAUCCAAGAUGGCGGCGCAAAAUGAAUUGCCGGCCGAGGCAAUUUUAGAGGACAAACUUGCCUCGGCCAGCAAUUCAUUUUGCGCCGCCAUCUUGGAUGUUUACUUUCGUAUACUACGCAUGCGCUGUUACGACAAUCCGUAAGCAGAUAGCUUUCGUUCGCCGCACACAGAAAGAUUUUGGCACGCGAGGCAGAAAUCAUCAAACAUGUUAGAUAUUUGGCGUAAGUGGCACGAAUGACAAAAGUCGUUCGUAAAUCGCCCGCACACGAGAGCUAUCUCCUUACGCCAACAGUCACGAAUGACAUUUUGCUAAGCACAUAGCUCUAGUGUGCGCCGGCCUUUAUGCAUG